rnacentral:rRNA from 1 species
UACUCCUACGGGAGGCAGCAGUGGGGAAUUUGCGCAAUGGGGGAAACCCUGACGCAGCAACGCCGCGUGAGUGAUGAAGGCCUUCGGGUCGUAAAGCUCUGUCAGUGGGGAGGAAGUGAUAAGGUGUUAAUACCACUUUAUCUUGACGGUACCCACAAAGGAAGCACCGGCUAACUCCGUGCCAGCAGCCGCGGUAAUACGGAGGGUGCAAGCGUUGUUCGGAUUUAUUGGGCGUAAAGCGCGUGUAGGCGGUCUUUUAAGUCUGAUGUGAAAGCCCCGGGCUCAACCCGGGAAGUGCAUUGGAUACUGGGAGACUUGAAUACGGGAGAGGGUAGUGGAAUUCCUAGUGUAGGAGUGAAAUCCGUAGAUAUUAGGAGGAACACCGGUGGCGAAGGCGGCUACCUGGACCGAUAUUGACGCUGAGACGCGAAAGCGUGGGGAGCAAACAGGAUUAGAUACCCUGGUAGUCCACGCCGUAAACGAUGAGAACUAGGUGUUGCGGGUAUUGACCCCUGCAGUGCCGCAGCUAACGCAUUAAGUUCUCCGCCUGGGAAGUACGGUCGCAAGACUAAAACUCAAAGGAAUUGACGG